AUGCCAGAGAUUAAAGCACUUAUGAUUUAUGCAAAGGAGAGGAUCAAUCUAGGUUUCCCUCAACAAAACAAGCAACCAUUGCUCAAGAAGAUCUUGGCCAUUGUUGAUAAGCGUUGGGAGAAUCAAAUGGAUCAUCCAUUGUAUGGGGCUGCUAUAUUUUUGAACCCAGGAAAGUUCUUUCCUAUUGUAAGCAGAAAUGAUGAUGCCUUAGUUGGGGAGCUUAGGAGCUGCUUUAAUGAUGUGCUUGCAAAAAUGGUACCGGAUGCCAAUGUUCGAAAAAAGAUUGAUCAACAAUCUGUGCUCUAUGAGCAACAGCGAGAAAGCUUUUCUAAUCCAUUGGCACUCGAGACCAUGAGCACAAGAAACCCUCUUGAUUGGUGGAGUUCAUUUGGUGGUCGGGCCAUUGACCUACAAAGGUUUGCAAAGCGCAUUGUUAGUCUUUGUGCUUCAUCAUCUGGUUGUGAGAGGAAUUGGAGCACGUUUGAAUUUAUCCAUACAAAGAAAAGGAACAGAUUACAAUGGAAAAGGUUGAAUGAUCUUGUCUUUGUUUCAUACAAUCGGAAGAAUAUGCAACGGUUUCAAAAGAGGCGUGAGAAGGUGGGCGAGAAUAGCUUUGAGGCUUUGGUCAUUGAGGAUUUCGAUUGGGGCAAUGAGUGGGUGGACCCAUCACUAUCACAACCUCAAGGUGCUCGAGGUUGUCCUGAAGACAAUCAAGACAUUACAUGGGAGGAUGUUGAUGUGGCUAUUGGUGCAUCUUCAAACCUUCGAGGCCGCAAUCUGCAUAGGACAGCAACUACACUUCGUAGGGGCCAGACAAAUGUCCGUCUGCACUACGCACGCAAGAGACCUACUACAACACGACCUAUAAUUCCUGAAGAAGAUGAGGUAGAGGAGGACUUGGAGCAAGAGCAACACUCAAGUAUGCCCAAUGCGGAGGGGGAGGAUUCAGACUACGUUGAGGAUGAUGAUGAUGUGAGCAAUGACGAUCAAGAGCCAACUAAUGUUGACCAAGAUGGUGAAGACAACACCAAUGCCAAUGAGUUUGAUGAUGAUGACUUUUGA
rnacentral:rRNA from 1 species